rnacentral:rRNA from 1 species
GACGAACGCUGGCGGCGUGCUUAACACAUGCAAGUCGAACGGUAAGGCUCCAGCUUGCUGGGGUACACGAGUGGCGAACGGGUGAGUAACACGUGGGUGACCUGCCCUGCACUUCGGGAUAAGCCUGGGAAACUGGGUCUAAUACCGGAUAGGACAAUGAUGUGGAUACUGUGGUGGAAAGUUUUUUCGGUGUGGGAUGGGCCCGCGGCCUAUCAGCUUGUUGGUGGGGUAAUGGCCUACCAAGGCGGCGACGGGUAGCCGGCCUGAGAGGGUGGACGGCCACAUUGGGACUGAGACACGGCCCAGACUCCUACGGGAGGCAGCAGUGGGGAAUAUUGCACAAUGGGCGGAAGCCUGAUGCAGCGACGCCGCGUGGGGGAUGACGGCCUUCGGGUUGUAAACUCCUUUCACCAUCGACGAAGGGUUUCUGACGGUAGAUGGAGAAGAAGCACCGGCUAACUACGUG